rnacentral:rRNA from 1 species
UACGGGGGGGGCAAGCGUUGUUCGGAAUUACUGGGCGUAAAGGGCUCGUAGGCGGCCAACUAAGUCGGAUGUGAAAUCCCCAGGCUCAACCUGGGAACUGCAUCCGAUACUGGAUGGCUUGAAUUCGGGAGAGGGAUGCAGAAUUCCAGGUGUAGCGGUGAAAUGCGUAGAUAUCUGGAGGAAUACAGGUGGCGAAGGCGGCAUCCUGGACCGACAUUGACGCUGAGGAGCGAAAGCCAGGGGAGCAAACGGG